rnacentral:rRNA from 1 species
UACGUAGGGGGCGAGCGUUGUCCGGAAUGACUGGGCGUAAAGGGCGCGUAGACGGCUUUUUAAGUCUGGAGUGAAAGUCCUGCUUUCAAGGUGGGAAUUGCUUUGGAGACUGGAAGGCUUGAGUGCGGAAGAGGUAAGUGGAAUUCCCAGUGUAGCGGUGAAAUGCGUAGAGAUUGGGAGGAACACCAGUGGCGAAGGCGACUUACUGGGCCGUAACUGACGUUGAUGCGCGAAAGCGUGGGGAGCGAACAGG